CACAGUGAAUUAUCACCCUGAAUGUGCCCAAUCCCAUCACAUUUCAGAACCAGGAUGGAGCCUGGUUAGUACUUGGAUGGUGGACUGUACAGGAAUAUAAGGUGUUUGUUGGCU
rnacentral:rRNA from 1 species